rnacentral:rRNA from 1 species
UACGUAGGGUGCAAGCGUUAAUCGGAAUUACUGGGCGUAAAGCGUGCGCAGGCGGUUUUGUAAGUCUGUCGUGAAAUCCCCGGGCUCAACCUGGGAAUUGCGAUGGAGACUGCAAGGCUAGAAUCUGGCAGAGGGGGGUAGAAUUCCACGUGUAGCAGUGAAAUGCGUAGAGAUGUGGAGGAACACCGAUGGCGAAGGCAGCCCCCUGGGUCAAGAUUGACGCUCAUGCACGAAAGCGUGGGGAGCAAACGAGGAUUAGAGUACCCUU